UAUUGGGCAAUGGGCGAAAGCCUGACCCAGCAACGCCGCGUGAAGGAAGAAGGUCUUCGGAUUGUAAACUUCUUUUAUGAGGGACGAAGGACGUGACUGUAACUCAUGGAUAAGCACCGGCUAACGCCGUGCCAGCAGCCGCGGUAAUACGUAGGUGGCAAGCGUUAUCCGGAUUUACUGGGUGUAAAGGGCGCGUAGGCGGGGAUGCAAGUCAGAUGUGAAAUCUAUGGGCUCAACCCAUAAACUGCAUUUGAAACUGUAUCUCUUGAGUGCUGGAGAGGUAGAUGGAAUUCCUUGUGUAGCGGUGAAAUGCGUAGAUAUAAGGAAGAACACCAGUGGCGAAGGCGAUCUACUGGACAGUAACUGACGCUGAGGCGCGAGAGCGUGGGGAGCAAA
rnacentral:rRNA from 1 species